UACGUAGGGUGCAAGCGUUAAUCGGAAUAACUGGGCGUAAAGGGUGAGUAGGCUGAACUAAAAGUUAGAUGUGAAAUCCCCGGGCUUAACCUGGGAAGAGCAUAUAAUACUGUAGAUCUAGAGUUAGUGAGAGGGGUGUAGAAUUCCAAGUGUAGCAGUGAAAUGCGUAGAGAUUUGGAGGAAUACCGAUGGCGAAGGCAGCACCCUGGCAUGGAACUGACGCUGAGUCACGAAAGCGUGGGUAGCAAAC
rnacentral:rRNA from 1 species